CCUCCUUAAAAAAUAAUCGCUUAGGAUAGGCGUUCACACUUAAUAACUUGCUUUUACCUAACUCAUUUCUUUACAGAUUUGAGAUUAAGGAGCGUUCUUUAACAUUUUUAUAAGUUCAAUCGGGUCAAAUCAUAGUGUCUUUGUUUUUUAAUUUAGAUAUGAAUGAUGUGCAAAUGUCACCCAACCCGUCAUGUUUUAGAACAUAAGUUUGGAGUACGUACUGCAAAGUAAUUUUGGCCAAUGACAAUAUAUACUUGAAGAACAUUAAUCAUUAAGUUGUUUGAUGGAAUAUGGUCAAGUAAUUAAGCGCAUACGGNGGAUGCCUA
rnacentral:misc_RNA from 1 species